rnacentral:rRNA from 1 species
UACGUAGGGGGCAAGCGUUGUCCGGAAUCAUUGGGCGUAAAGAGCGUGUAGGCGGCUCGGUAAGUCCGCUGUGAAAGUCCAGGGCUCAACCCUGGAAUGCCGGUGGAAACUGUCGAGCUAGAGUCCGGAAGAGGCGAGUGGAAUUCCUGGUGUAGGCGGUGAAAUGCGCAGAUAUCAGGAGGAACACCAAUGGCGAAGGCAGCUCGCUGGGACGGUACUGACGCUGAGACGCGAAAGCGUGGGGGAGCAAACGG